rnacentral:rRNA from 1 species
CAGGGCUUGACAUCCUACUAACGAGGUAGAGAUACGUUAGGUGCCCUUCGGGGAAAGUAGAGACAGGUGGUGCAUGGUUGUCGUCAGCUCGUGUCGUGAGAUGUUGGGUUAAGUCCCGCAACGAGCGCAACCCUUAUUGUUAGUUGCUACGCAAGAGCACUCUAGCGAGACUGCCGUUGACAAAACGGAGGAAGGUGGGGACGACGUCAAAUCAUCAUGCCCCUUAUGUCCUGGGCUACACACGUAAUACAAUGGCGGUCAACAGAGGGAUGCAAAACCGUGAGGUGGAGCGAACCCCUAAAAGCCGUCCCAGUUCAGAUCGCAGUCUGCAACCCGACUGCGUGAAGUCGGAAUCGCUAGUAAUCGCGGAUCAGCAUGCCGCGGUGAAUACGUUCCGC